UGUAAUCUACUGGACAACAUUUGCUCUUUUCCUAUAUUUGUAUUAUCAAAAUGUGAAGUUAAAAAAUGAAUUACUUGUUGGAGCUAUAACUAUUACACAAUACCUCCAUUUUUGUGCUAUUCUACGAUCAGCUCUAUAUUUCAUUAAAGCAAAUCACAAAUUAACAACCCAAUUGAGCAUUAAACAUUCCCAAAUUCCAUAGUACCACAAAUUUCCAAAGGUCAAAAAGCACCGAAAUUUCAACAAAAUCGAUCAAACCAACAUUGCAAAUCACAAAUUAACAACCCAGAUCCGCAAAUUAAAGCAAACAGAGCAAGCAAAGUCAAGAAAAGAGUUACCUUUCGACUGUGUUCGUAUUGUGGAAGAGGGAGGGGGAGAGGGAGACCGGGAGAGGGAGAGAGCGGAAGGAGGCAGAUUGGGGCAAACCUAGGAGGCGGUGGACGGUGUGGAGCGCGGUGAGGGCUCGAGGAGGCGAACCGGUAAGUUUUUAGGGUUUUUCUUGCGCUGGGUUUUCUACGGUCCCUAUACCUUUAGCCAACAAAAUACUUACUUCGUCGGCUAACAUUUGAAAUUCGUCGGCUAAACCUUUGAAAUUCAUCGGCUAACCCUUGAAAUUCGUCGGCUAAACCUUUGAAAUUCGUCGGCUAUAGUACUUUUUAUUUAAUAUUUUCAAUUUAUCUGUUUUAUUUUAUUUUAUUAACUAUAGCCGACGAAUUUUCAAUAAUGUCAUCGGCUAAAGUACUUUUUAUACAUUCGGCACAUUGUGAUUGUGAUGAUCAAACUUAAGAAACGAAAAUCCGACCGUCAGAUCUGACCAUCAUGAUAAAAUACAUGUAUGGGAAAAAAUUCAACUUGAUCCGACAAGGUUAAGGGCUCGAUCCGGACGGUCAAUCCCGUAAGUCAAACCCCUAAACGCACGGAAAAGGUCAUUGGACCGUCUAAAUUACGUAUUUUGGCCGGACCUUCAACUGAAAAUAGAUUCAAAUCGAUGAGACGCAACAAGUCGUAUAAAAAUUUUACGGAAAAUAACCACCAAAGAUAGGGCUGCCCAUAGGGAGAAAAAAUGGAAAAAGUCAUUAACCGCAACUAUCGGCACCUAGACUUUACCGGAAUACCGUGAUUUUUCAACCGUGGGCGUAUUUCACCAUUCUGGUCAUAUGUUAUUUCACGACUUUUUUACGUUUGAAGGUUCUACGUAUAGUUUGUUUUUGAAACGGAACAUUUACUCUUGGUAAACAAGUUAUACAACAUUAGUAGGCAUGUUGUGAUUGUGAUGAUCAAACUUGAGAAACGAAAAUCCGACUGUCAGAUCUGACCAUCAUGAUAAAAUACAUGUAUGUGAAAAAAUUCAACUUGAUCCGACAAGGUUAAGGGCUCGAUCCGUACGGUCAAUCCCGUAAGUCAAACCCUUAAACGCACGAAAAAGGUCAUUGGACCGUCUAAAUUACGUAUCUUGGCCGGACCUUCAAUUGAAAAUAGUUUCAAAACGAUGAGACGCAACAAGUCAUAUAUUAGGGUAUUCGUCAGCUAUGGUUUAGGGUUUAGGGUUUAGCAGAUGAAAUAUUAGGGUAUUCCUCGGCUAACCUCAUCUUAGCCGACGAAUUAUGACUUAUUUAAGGUGGUUUUAGCCGACGAAAUAUACUAUAAUUCGUCGGCUAAGAUGGUUCACUACCAGGACAAGCACUUUAGCCGACGAAAAGUUUUCGUCGGCCUGUUAGCUUAAUUCGUCGGCUAAGAUCUUAGCCGACGAGCCAUCGUCGGCUAAGAUUUCGUCGGGAAAAGGUCGUCUGUGAUGACUUUAGCCGACGAAAAAAAAAUUUCGUCGGCUAUAGUCCCGCAGUUUAGCUGACGAAAAACAUGUCGUCGGUUUUUUCCCAGACUUUAGCCGACGAAACAAUUAUGAUAUUCGUCGGCUAAAGUCUGUAAUAAAAAAUUUUUUCCCAGACUAUAGCCGAUGAAAUAUAGUAUCUUUCGUUGGCUAAAACCUUNUAAAAAAAUUUAAAAANAACUAUAACCGACGAAAUAUAAGUCUGUUUCGUCGGCUAAACCUUAUAAAAAAAUUUUAAAAAUAACUAUAGCCGACGAAAUAUAGUCUGUUUCGUCAGCUAAACCUUAUAAAAAAAAUUUUAAAAAUAACUAUAGCCGACGAAAUAUGGCAUAAUUCGUCGCUAAACCUUAUAAAAAAAUUUANNNNNNNNNNNNNNNNNNNNA
rnacentral:lncRNA from 1 species